rnacentral:sRNA from 1 species
CCCAGGGUUGGCACCCUGGGCUACAGAAGGUCGCACCUUCGGUGCU